GUUAGAGUUUGAUCAAUGGCUCAGGAUGAACGCUGGCGGCGUGCCUAAUACAUGCAAGUCGAGCGAACUGAUUAGAAGCUUGCUUCUAUGACGUUAGCGGCGGACGGGUGAGUAACACGUGGGCAACCUGCCUGUAAGACUGGGAUAACUUCGGGAAACCGAAGCUAAUACCGGAUAGGAUCUUCUCCUUCAUGGGAGAUGAUUGAAAGAUGGUUUCGGCUAUCACUUACAGAUGGGCCCGCGGUGCAUUAGCUAGUUGGUGAGGUAACGGCUCACCAAGGCAACGAUGCAUAGCCGACCUGAGAGGGUGAUCGGCCACACUGGGACUGAGACACGGCCCAGACUCCUACGGGAGGCAGCAGUAGGGAAUCUUCCGCAAUGGACGAAAGUCUGACGGAGCAACGCCGCGUGAGUGAUGAAGGCUUUCGGGUCGUAAAACUCUGUUGUUAGGGAAGAACAAGUACGAGAGUAACUGCUCGUACCUUGACGGUACCUAACCAGAAAGCCACGGCUAACUACGUGCCAGCAGCCGCGGUAAUACGUAGGUGGCAAGCGUUAUCCGGAAUUAUUGGGCGUAAAGCGCGCGCAGGCGGUUUCUUAAGUCUGAUGUGAAAGCCCACGGCUCAACCGUGGAGGGUCAUUGGAAACUGGGGAACUUGAGUGCAGAAGAGAAAAGCGGAAUUCCACGUGUAGCGGUGAAAUGCGUAGAGAUGUGGAGGAACACCAGUGGCGAAGGCGGCUUUUUGGUCUGUAACUGACGCUGAGGCGCGAAAGCGUGGGGAGCAAACAGGAUUAGAUACCCUGGUAGUCCACGCCGUAAACGAUGAGUGCUAAGUGUUAGAGGGUUUCCGCCCUUUAGUGCUGCAGCUAACGCAUUAAGCACUCCGCCUGGGGAGUACGGUCGCAAGACUGAAACUCAAAGGAAUUGACGGGGGCCCGCACAAGCGGUGGAGCAUGUGGUUUAAUUCGAAGCAACGCGAAGAACCUUACCAGGUCUUGACAUCCUCUGACAACUCUAGAGAUAGAGCGUUCCCCUUCGGGGGACAGAGUGACAGGUGGUGCAUGGUUGUCGUCAGCUCGUGUCGUGAGAUGUUGGGUUAAGUCCCGCAACGAGCGCAACCCUUGAUCUUAGUUGCCAGCAUUUAGUUGGGCACUCUAAGGUGACUGCCGGUGACAAACCCGGAGGAAGGUGGGGAUGACGUCAAAUCAUCAUGCCCCUUAUGACCUGGGCUACACACGUGCUACAAUGGAUGGGUACAAAGGGCUGCAAGACCGCGAGGUCAAGCCCAAUCCCAUAAAACCAUUUCUCAGUUCGGGAUUGUAGGCUGCAACUCGCCUACAUGAAGCUGGAAUCGCUAGUAAUCGCGGAUCAGCAUGCCGCGGUGAAUACCGUUCCCGGGCCCUUGUACACACCGCCCGUUCACACCACGAGAGGUUUGUAACACCCGAAGUCGGUGGAGUAACCGUAAGGAGCUAGCCGCCUAAGGUGGGACAAGAUGUAUUGGGGGUGAAGUCGUAACC
rnacentral:rRNA from 2 species